rfam:Ancylostoma duodenale strain Zhejiang A_duodenale-1.0_Cont241594.1, whole genome shotgun sequence.
CCAACGGCCCUCUUUAGGGCCACAAAUCGAAUCG